CACAGAUAAACAGUCAAAGAUCCAAACGGGGGAGUUACCAUGAUGACGGCCUGCUGGUUCACAAUCGCCUGCUGCUGCUGGGCCAAAACAGCUUGCUGGUCUCCUAGAGGAGAAACAGUGUUACAGGUGCCACAGCAGCGACAGGAGGCGACAUCAUACCUCCCACAGGAAGGACUCUCACAGCUGUGGACACAAGCACAGACAAGCAGCCAACUUUUGACAGAUUCAAUACCUCCAGGUGGAGGUGGGUGGCCAGAUGACUGCCCCGGCUGUUGCCACUUCCCACCGACGCCCCCGGCCCCCUUCAUCCUGUGUGACAGGCCUGCAGUCGACUCUUCUUCCUUAGAAUAGAG